rnacentral:rRNA from 1 species
UACGUAGGGGGCUAGCGUUGUCCGGAUUUAUUGGGCGUAAAGAGCGUGUAGGCGGCCAGGUAGGUCUGCUGUGAAAACUCGAGGCUCAACCUCGAGACGUCGGCGGAAACCAUCUGGCUAGAGUCCGGAAGAGGAGAGUGGAAUUCCUGGUGUAGAGGUGAAAUUCGUAGAUAUUCGCAAGAACACCAGUGGCGAAGGCGGCUCACUGGCCCGAUACUGACGCUGAGGCACGAAAGCGUGGGGAGCAAACAGG